GGUGUGCACGCAGGUUGCA
rnacentral:misc_RNA from 1 species